GGAAGCUAGCAGGCGUCUGGUGAGCCUCGCGGACUUCAAAUCCGUUGUGGGGCCCUAACCCGGUCCCAGGUGGGUUCGAUUCCCACUAGCUUCCCCCA
rnacentral:tRNA from 1 species